rnacentral:rRNA from 1 species
GACGAACGCUGGCGGCGUGCUUAACACAUGCAAGUCGAACGGAAAGGCCCUGCUUUUGUGGGGUGCUCGAGUGGCGAACGGGUGAGUAACACGUGAGUAACCUGCCCUUGACUUUGGGAUAACUUCAGGAAACUGGGGCUAAUACCGGAUAGGAGCUCCUGCUGCAUGGUGGGGGUUGGAAAGUUUCGGCGGUUGGGGAUGGACUCGCGGCUUAUCAGCUUGUUGGUGGGGUAGUGGCUUACCAAGGCUUUGACGGGUAGCCGGCCUGAGAGGGUGACCGGCCACAUUGGGACUGAGAUACGGCCCAGACUCCUACGGGAGGCAGCAGUGGGGAAUAUUGCACAAUGGGCGGAAGCCUGAUGCAGCAACGCCGCGUGCGGGAUGACGGCCUUCGGGUUGUAAACCGCUUUCGCCUGUGACGAAGCCUGAGUGACGGUAAUGGGUAAAGAAGCACCGGCUAACUACGUGCCAGCAGCCGCGGUGAUACGUAGGGUGCGAGCGUUGUCCGGAUUUAUUGGGCGUAAAGGGCUCGUAGGUGGUUGAUCGCGUCGGAAGUGUAAUCUUGGGGCUUAACCCUGAGCGUGCUUUCGAUACGGGUUGACUUGAGGAAGGUAGGGGAGAAUGGAAUUCCUGGUGGAGCGGUGGAAUGCGCAGAUAUCAGGAGGAACACCAGUGGCGAAGGCGGUUCUCUGGGCCUUUCCUGACGCUGAGGAGCGAAAGCGUGGGGAGCGAACAGGCUUAGAUACCCUGGUAGUCCACGCUGUAAACGGUGGGUACUAGAUGUGGGGUCCAUUCCACGGGUUCCGUGCCGUAGCUAACGCUUUAAGUACCCCGCCUGGGGAGUACGGCCGCAAGGCUAAAACUCAAAGGAAUUGGCGGGGCCCCGCACAAGCGGCGGAGCAUGCGGAUUAAUUCGAUGCAACGCGUAGAACCUUACCUGGGUUUGACAUGGAUCGGGAGUGCUCAGAGAUGGGUGUGCCUCUUUUGGGGUCGGUUCACAGGUGGUGCAUGGCUGUCGUCAGCUCGUGUCGUGAGAUGUUGGGUUAAGUCCCGCAACGAGCGCAACCCUUGUUCACUGUUGCCAGCACGUUAUGGUGGGGACUCAGUGGAGACCGCCGGGGUCAACUCGGAGGAAGGUGGGGAUGACGUCAAGUCAUCAUGCCCCUUAUGUCCAGGGCUUCACGCAUGCUACAAUGGCUGGUACAGAGAGUGGCGAGCCUGUGAGGGUGAGCGAAUCUCGGAAAGCCGGUCUCAGUUCGGAUUGGGGUCUGCAACUCGACCUCAUGAAGUCGGAGUCGCUAGUAAUCGCAGAUCAGCAACGCUGCGGUGAAUACGUUCCCGGGGCU